CAAAAACGUUGCCUUAGAUGCUUAAAAUUUGAUUGAAGUGGGUGUAUACCAACAUCAUAUAGCGGUGUUGCCAUUGAUACGAAAACUGUUGCCUUAACCACAAAAAAAUCUCGAUGCCAACAUCUUGCCAACAUCUUGUGCGAUGUUGCCUUAGAGAAGAACUCAAAUAAAGGAGGGAAACACCCCGCUUUGUUUUGAUAGUCAAAUUUUUAAACAAAAUUCAGCAACCGCCUCAGACAAAACGUGUUAUUCCUUAGACAAUUAAAACAUAAAUCAAAAACAUCUCUCAAAUAAACACACCUCCCUCCCUCGAACUCACUCUCUCUCAGACAAAAACACCUCCCUCCCUCGAACUCUCGAUCUCUCGCUCUCUCUCUCUCUCUUCUGCAUCUCUUACUCUCUAUCCCGCAUCUCUCACUCAAUCUCUCCCGUAUACCUCUCUUCCGAAUCUUCCCCAUCUCGCUCUUUCAUCUCUUUCUCUCAUCUCGUUCUCAUAUCUCUCAUCUCUCGAAUCUAGAAUCUGCGAAAAUUUGGGAAAGGGUUGGUCCGACGACUUUAUAGAAGGAGCUCAGUUGCUUUUCUCUCGUAAGUUUAAUUUGGUCGAACUCUAACUAUAAGGUAUCUCUCUGAGUUCAUCUUGUUGAUUUGGGGGUUUUAAAACCCUAAUUUUUAAAUUGUUAAUUUAGGGUUUCUUUAAUUGGGGUUUAAUUGGGAGUUGAUUAGGGUUAAAUUUGCAAGUCAAUUGAAAAACUCUUGGGGUGUGUUUGCUUAUCUGCAUUUUCCAAGUUUGUAUGUGCAUUUCUGAAUUCUUACUAUUUGUUUAUGGUUUUUUGUUUAUACUGGAGGAAUAAUGUAUAUAAACUUGUUAAAAGUGCUUGAGAUUUGCAAGUGUAUUUUCAAGUGAAUUAGUUUUCGUGUAUUCCUGGAGAAUGUAUAUGCCCCUGUAAUGUGUACUUUUUCUUGAGUUUUAGUUUUUAUUCUAGUAGUAAUGUGUGGAGAAUCACAAUGACCCUGGACAUAUGAAUUGCAGACGGGUUAACAUGGAAUUUCAAGUGCAAAAUAACAUGUAUUGUAUUUGUAUUAAUUUACCAUCCGGCAUACUUCAGGGGAAGCUUUAUCAGCCUAUUAAGCUUGAUGAUAGUAUAUGGAGCGUGGGUAAGUUUCUGAUGGAUUUUGAUUGCUAACACACUUUCACAUGUCAUUUACGAUGUUAUUGUUUAUAUUUUUAAUGCACUUGAGUUCCUGUGUCUUAACAUAGGACGUGAGCGUGGACACUAACAAUUCAUUUUAGGCCAAAUUCAAUCAAAAUUUCUGAAAAUAUAGGACCAGAAGUGUAACUCUGUACUUCUUUUCAAGCAGGACAAAAUGCAAUGGUGGAAGUACUUGGUGAAAGGCAAUCCUGAAGUUGAUACCCAAAAGGUAGAGCCUGAGAGGAACAAACUAUCUGAUCUAGAUGGAGAAAUACGGUAAACUGUGGAGAAAAUGAUGGUGAUUUAAUCCUCGAAACUUGGAAUGGAUGAGGGAAUCAAAAUGUAAGCUUGCCGCAACGGCAACAUUUCUGCUCACCUCGUCCAGCUUCCAGCACAAGCCCUUCUAGUGAUGCAAACUUGAAUUAUAGGGCCACAUUGUCAAGAUCAUUCUCGAUUCCAAUAACCAAUAUACUUUGAUUUAUAGAAUUUGAGUGUUGUGGAAAAUUUUUAGUAUAUAUGGAACUUUAGUAAUUUGUGGUAGAAUUCUAGUAUUAUUUGAGGAAUUUUAGUAAUUUGUGAUAAAAUUAUGUGUAAUAGGUAUUGUGGAGUUUGGAUUUAACUAUGUUAUGGUAUGUAGGUUUAGUUAAUAUUGUUUGGUGUUUGGAGUUAGGUUUUGGAAUGGAUGAUUGGUUUUGGUUAUUAUAUAUACAA